GACGUAGGGGGCGAGCGUUGUCCGGAUUUAUUGGGCGUAAAGCGUGCGUAGGCGGCUGCGCAAGUCGGUUGUGAAACCCCGGGGCUCAACCCCGGAACUGCAUCCGAUACUGCGUGGCUAGAGGUAGGUAGGGGAGAUCGGAAUUCCUGGUGUAGCGGUGAAAUGCGCAGAUAUCAGGAGGAACACCGGUGGCGAAGGCGGAUCUCUGGGACGGUACUGACGCUGAGACGCGAAAGCGUGGGGAGCGAACAGG
rnacentral:rRNA from 1 species